CAUGUCCCACAACUCUUAGUUGCUGGCUCACCUCAGAUGAUUGCCCAUACUAACAGAUUCCUCUAUUCAGUAUGUGCUGGAGAGAUUCAUCAAAGAACAGGCCCCACCCAACCCCCUUUUCCUAAACUGCUACUUAUCCAAACUGACAACAUUUCCACCACUUACCCUUGGAUAAUUCUUUAUUCCACAUAUCUGCUUUGCCACAUGUCACCAGGAACAGGGAAAUGUGGCCAAGAACUGACAAUGUGAGGCACAGAUUUAUUUAUUUUUUAAGGCGGAGUAGAGGGUGAAUAAAAGUAGAAUCAUAAUUGUUUAAAACCA